rnacentral:lncRNA from 1 species
AGUGGAAGGUGAAAAGUCAGUAGCAAACUAUUUUGGAAACCAGAGAAAAAAAUACUUCGGAAAGAAAAUACAAUCAAUAUUUUCAAAUGCCAUAAAACAGUUUUCUGAUGAAGCUGAGGUCCACUGAUCUAUAUUUAUCCCGAACAAAUGGUUUUAUCUGGGAUCCCUCAUCUGCAAAUCAGUAACAGUGGGGAGCUGGAUUGAUUCAGACUUUAAGUGUGCAAUCUGGAAGGUCACUUAAAGAUGAUAUGGCAUCAUGAACUGCAUCUCUAAGACACCGCUUAGAGGAAACACACUCUACAAUGGUACCCAAGCAUCUGCCUUCCCAGGAAUAUCUGGACUGGAUUAAUUUGUGGGCAAGAAGGAACUUUUAUUUGUUAAGCUCCUGAGAUUGUGAUUUUGUUUACCAUAGCUGCUAGCAUCAGUUAUUUCAUUCAGAGAUGGAACAUGAAAAUAAAUAAGGCCCUACACUUGAGGAGUUCAAAGUUUAGGAGAUUGGUCAGAGUGGUGGGAGAAACUAUAGGGAAAGGAACAGACCCUGGCCGACCGAUGGAUGAAAUGAGUACUCAGACACAGGUAUGCGGUGUAAGAGCAGGUAGGGGACUGCUUGACUCUAGUGGUCAAAGUGUAGCAGCCCAGAAAAGCUGGAGCUGCUUAAUUUUAUUCACUGCAGGCACAAACAGGCCACAAAGGAUGCAGUCAAGUGCAAGGUUAUGA